GGUUAAGUGACUAAGCGUACAUGGUGGAUGCCUUGGCAGUCAGAGGCGAUGAAGGACGUACUAACCUGCGAUAAGCCGUGAGCAGUCGGUAAGAGACAUUACGACUCACGGAUUUCCGAAUGGGGAAACCCACUUAGCAUAAGCUAGGUAUCGCUACGUGAAUACAUAGCGUAGCGAGGCGAACCGGGAGAACUGAAACAUCUAAGUACCCCGAGGAAAAGAAAUCAACCGAGAUUCCCUCAGUAGCGGCGAGCGAACGGGGAUUAGCCCUUAAGCAUCUUGGAAGUUAGUGGAACGGUCCUGGAAAGGCCGGCGAUACAGGGUGAUAGCCCCGUACACGAAAACAACCUUGAUGUGAAAUCGAGUAGGGCGGGACACGUGACAUCCUGUCUGAAUAUGGGGGGACCAUCCUCCAAGGCUAAAUACUCCUGACUGACCGAUAGUGAACCAGUACCGUGAGGGAAAGGCGAAAAGAACCCCUGUGAGGGGAGUGAAAUAGAACCUGAAACCGUGUACGUACAAGCAGUGGGAGCCCUUCGGGGUGACUGCGUACCUUUUGUAUAAUGGGUCAGCGACUUACAUUUUGUAGCGAGGUUAACCGUAUAGGGGAGCCGUAGGGAAACCGAGUCUUAACUGGGCGUCUAGUUGCAAGGUGUAGACCCGAAACCGGGUGAUCUAGCCAUGGGCAGGUUGAAGGUUGAGUAACAUCAACUGGAGGACCGAACCCACUAACGUUGCAAAGUUAGGGGAUGACCUGUGGCUGGGGGUGAAAGGCCAAUCAAACUCGGAGAUAGCUGGUUCUCCCCGAAAGCUAUUUAGGUAGCGCCUCGGACGAAUACUACUGGGGGUAGAGCACUGUUUGGGCUAGGGGGUCAUCCCGACUUACCAACCCCAUGCAAACUCCGAAUACCAGUAAGUAAUAUCCGGGAGACACACGGCGGGUGCUAACGUCCGUCGUGAAGAGGGAAACAACCCAGACCGCCGGCUAAGGUCCCAAAGUUCUGGUUAAGUGGGAAACGAUGUGGGAAGGCUCAGACAGCUAGGAUGUUGGCUUAGAAGCAGCCAUCAUUUAAAGAAAGCGUAAUAGCUCACUAGUCGAGUCGGCCUGCGCGGAAGAUGUAACGGGGCUCAAACCAGGCACCGAAGCCGCGGAUUCAC
rnacentral:rRNA from 1 species